GACGAACGCUGGCGGCGUGCCUAAUACAUGCAAGUCGAGCGAAUCGAUGGGAGCUUGCUCCCUGAGAUUAGCGGCGGACGGGUGAGUAACACGUGGGUAACCUGCCUGUAAGACUGGGAUAACUUCGGGAAACCGGAGCUAAUACCGGAUACUUUCUUUUCUCGCAUGAGGGAAGAUGGAAAGAUGGUUUCGGCUAUCACUUACAGAUGGACCCGCGGCGCAUUAGCUAGUUGGUGAGGUAACGGCUCACCAAGGCAACGAUGCGUAGCCGACCUGAGAGGGUGAUCGGCCACACUGGGACUGAGACACGGCCCAGACUCCUACGGGAGGCAGCAGUAGGGAAUCUUCCGCAAUGGACGAAAGUCUGACGGAGCAACGCCGCGUGAGCGAAGAAGGCCUUCGGGUCGUAAAGUUCUGUUGUUAGGGAAGAACAAGUACCAGAGUAACUGCUGGUACCUUGACGGUACCUAACCAGAAAGCCACGGCUAACUACGUGCCAGCAGCCGCGGUAAUAC
rnacentral:rRNA from 1 species